UUAACUCAAAUUUGUAUGGAGUUGGAACGUUUGCCUACGUUUGCCGCUAGGGGCGCUGUUCCAACUGCAUACAAAUCAGAGUUA
rfam:Bombyx mori DNA, contig: Bm_scaf73_contig31416, strain: p50T/Dazao, build 2, whole genome shotgun sequence.